UGCAGGCUGGUGAUUAGGGACCAGAAGGACAAUGUCUAUAGACCAGUGGGGCCGAAGUACCCCAUGUAUGGCAGUCUCUGCAGCCGUCUGGGUUCUCAGUCUCCUCACCUGCCAGUGAGCCCACCUCUGGAGAUCUUCAAUCAUCUAUCUUCUGGAGCCUCUGCAGGAGCAACCAGGGCUUCUCAGGGAGGGGCUAGGACCUGAUCUCUGCACCCCCAAGUGAUGUCUCAGCUCUAAAUAACAUCUCCAGGAUUAACAUUGCUGGCAGCCAACAGUACCAGGAUUUCUCUGUGAAGUCCUGGCUGUCCUGGAACUUGCUCUGUAGACCAGGCUGGCCUCUAACUCAGAGAUCUGGGAUUAAAGGUGUCCACCACCACUGGUUCCCUGCAAAGUUUGACUAUUAGCUUCCACUGAGGCUGACAGGAGGGAGAGAAGGAUGGUUCCCAGUGUCCUGAAAGGAGACCUUCCCAGGGUAAUUACCUGCUGAUCACUUGCACUCAAGAUACACUAACUGCCCUGUCAUGAGCUGCAGGAUACCUGCAGGAGCAGCCAGUCGGACAAGAGAAGGCUAGCCAAGCCAUGCUGGGAGGCAGAGGAUGCCCUUGUCUGGGAUGCUGGGUCUUUGGUGAAUCCAUCUUUACCAUGACAGCUGUGGCCACGAACGUGCCCUGCCCUACCAUGCAACCUCCAUCCCUUCCACCACUGCCAUGAUCUCCAUCGUCAUCACCAUCCCCACGAUCUCUGCCUGCAUCACCAACACCAUCACCACCUCAUCUGUUACCAUCCCUACCACCACAACCUCCACUAUCACUUUUUGCUGUUGUUGUUAAUAUAGUGUCUCUGUAUAGCCCUGG